GACGUAGGGCGCGAGCGUGUCCGGAUUUAUUGGGCGUAAAGAGUUCGUAGGCGGUUUGUCGCGUCUGCCGUGAAAGUCCGGGGCUCAACUCCGGAUCUGCGGUGGGUACGGGCAGACUAGAGUGAUGUAGGGGAGACUGGAAUUUACGGUGUAGCGGUGAAAUGCGUAGAUAUCGUAAGGAAGACCAGUGGCGAAGGCGGGUCUCUGGACAGUUCCUGACGCUGAGGCACGAAGGCCAGGGGAGCAAACGGA
rnacentral:rRNA from 1 species